UAAAAAUUGCUGGAGUGGAGAGAGCGCGCUCCGACUGAAGCCUCCAUCCGCCAUCUUACCAGAGGCAGAAAGCGCGCUCGGCGCCGGCGGCACCGGCUCUCGCUGCUGUUUUCGCUGAAGAAGCGUUGUGGCCUCACGUUUCACCUGUAAGUACACGAGAACACGUUCAUUGAGCCACUACGCUCGCGUUGCCGAUGGAUGUCAACUGAUAAGUUGUGUGUGUGUGCGCAACGACUAAUAGUCCUGGAAUUGCCGACAGGUUUCCAAAAGAUCCGGAGCUGCGGAGCCUGUGGGAGCGGGCUGUUCGCCGUGAAAGGUGGCAUGCGAAAGAUGGAGAUCGCUUUUGCUGUGUGCAUUUCGCGCCGGAGUGCUUCGACCGCACCGGACAGACAACACGACUGCGUGCGGGUAGUGUUCCUUCUGUGUUCCCUGCGUUUCCGGAGCAUCUACAGAAGCCCGUGAAAAGGAAGCGUCCAGGCCGCAAGCAUGAAGACUGGUUCCAGAAAGUGGAGGACCACAUCCUUGAUCUUGAUCCACUUGAUAACCAUAUUUAUAUUUUGUGCAAAAAAAUCGCUGAAGAAUAUAUAAAAGUGAGAAUACACCACAUGACGAAAGAACGAAACUGUGAACUUAUCAAAAACAAAGUGAGACCACUUUUGUCGAGGGUGAUUAUUUUCAAUCACCAGUAGGGUGUUUGUCAUGGUGUUCUUGACUGUAUGUGAGACUUUCUCCUUAAUAUCUGCUCAUUUGAACUCCCUUCUGUGUAUCAGUUGGCUGCUGGUUGAUGGUAAAUAAACGACUACAACUAGAACCACACAUUUGCAUUCCUUUCUAAAUAGGAGCAGCUGCAUCAGCAAAGCGAAAAAGCGCGAGCGCAGCUGCAUUACGCUUUUCUCCUUAAUAUUUGUACAGUUACACUGCCUUUUACAUGCCAGUUUUCUGCUAGCUGAUGGAAAAUAAAUGGAUAUAACUAGAA